GCUCGCCAAACCACUACGAGUGAAAACUUAAAAUUUAAAGGACUUGACGGUGUCCCACAUUCAACCUAGAGGAGCCUGUCUACUAACCGAUAACCCACGAUUAACCCUACCACCCAUGGCCACACAGUCUAUAUACCGCCGUCGCAAGCCUAUCUUGCAAAAGAAAUACAAUGGGCUAAACAGUGCCACACUAAUACGACAGGUCGAGGUGUAACUAAUGGGGUGGGACAAGAUGGGCUACAUUACUCAAUCCGAGUAAUACGAACAAAACUAUGAAACUAGCUUUUAAAGGAGGAUUUAGCAGUAAGAUGAGAAUAAAAUACUCAACUGAAUAAAACGCAAUGGGACGCGUACACACCGCCCGUCAUCCCUGUCAAAUAAACUAAAAAAAUACAUAAUAAAUUAACAAGCCAAAGACAGGGCAAGUCGUAACAUGGUAAGCGUACUGGAAAGUGUGCUUAGAAC
rnacentral:rRNA from 1 species